rnacentral:rRNA from 1 species
UACGGAGGGUGCAAGCGUUAAUCGGAAUUGCUGGGCGUAAAGCGUGCGUAGGCGGUUCGUUAAGUCUGUUGUGAAAGCCCCGGGCUCAACCUGGGAAUGGCAAUGGAUACUGGCGAGCUAGAGUGUGUCAGAGGAUGGUGGAAUUCCCGGUGUAGCGGUGGAAUGCGUAGAUAUCAGGAGGAACACCGGUGGCGAAGGCGGGUCUCUGGGCCGAUACUGACACUGAGGAGCGAAAGCGUGGGGAGCGAACAGG